CGGCCCUCGCCUUUGAUUUAUUUUUUUUCUGGGCGGCCGCUGCGACCCGGGACUGACUUCGGGAUGGGAAGUGGAGCCCCCGGAGCUGCUACCGUGGCGGCGGCGCUGUGAGGAGCAGCCAGGGGGAGGCAGCUGCGGCUCGCCGAAUCCAAUGGAAACAAUGGGAAUUAGUGGGCUGAUGUCUUCUCUGUUUCUCUGACCUUUCAGUGACAGCCAUCAUGACCCCCACAGCCCCUGCUCUUUCCACAUGUGUGUAAGCCCUAACUCCUUAUUAAACCCUUUUGUCUCCUGUUACUUAGUGUGGUUCUAUUUACUUGACAAUAUCCAUAAAGGUGACCUCACUAAAAGAUGUAAUGCACAGACUUUAAUGACAAACACUG